rnacentral:misc_RNA from 1 species
AAGAUACAUCCGGUCUUCCAUGUGAGCUUCCUAAAGCCUUACUAUGCGGACAAGGAGGAUCCGGACAGAGGAAAAUCUCAGCUUCCUUUUCCCAACUUGCCUCAGUGUCGGGCAACCCCUUCCAUUUGAUCAGAAAUUCCGUGUGGUUGGGGACUCCUCGCUGGCGCACCACUCGUUCGGCCAAAAUUUCCCCAAUUUCCCGAUCAAAUGAGGUUACAACCGUGGGAGGGGCUCCCCG